rnacentral:rRNA from 1 species
CAGCCGCCGCGUGAAUACGAAGGGUGCAAGCGUUACUCGGAAUUACUGGGCGUAAAGCGUGCGUAGGUGGUGGUUUAAGUCCGUUGUGAAAGCCCUGGGCUCAACCUGGGAAUUGCAGUGGAUACUGGGUCACUAGAGUGUGGUAGAGGAUAGUGGAAUUUCCGGUGUAGCAGUGAAAUGCGUAGAGAUCGGAAGGAACAUCUGUGGCGAAGGCGACUAUCUGGGCCAACACUGACACUGAGGCACGAAAGCGUGGGGAGCAAACAGGAUUAGAUACCCCCGUAGUCCCUGUCUCUUAUAA